CCUUUACAUAAUCAAGCCUGAGGGGUUGACCAGGGUUCUGCUUGGACUGUGGUGGCCCAAGGCCAGCUUCUAGGACCACUCUGGGGAUAGAGGCUUCUUCUGGGGUAAAUGUGAGGGAUCCUAGGCCAGAGGAGGGUCUAGAAGUUGACUCAGGAGUGCUGAGAUGGACUUUCGGGAGAAAAAGGACUGAGGCCAUGUGGCAGCUGGAAGGUCUCAUGCACUAUUCCAGCCCGAGAAUGACUCACAGCCCCUGCAGCCUUGCUAGCAGAUCUAGGAACUGACUCUCAUUGGCUCUCAUGAUGAUACUGAUAAUAUUAGGGAGAAGAAUGUUAAUUUCUUGAAAACGACUUUGA
rnacentral:lncRNA from 1 species